UUUUAACUCAUCAGUCUUUUUCAAAACAGCGCGGUAAACAAGAUGACGUCGCAGCUCAUCUCUUCUCCUGCUUUUCCUCCGUUGUUACAAAGGACACGAUUCAAUGAAUCAUUCAAUCGAUGUACUUGUAUUUCUGAGACAGUAAACAACGCUAUAUUAGGGAGGUCAGAGAUGAUUAUCCUUGAGGGUCGUGUGAUUUGUGAGGCCGUAUACCCCAGAUUUCGGACUGCAAGAUUUCUACUGUUCGCAAUGUACUACGUCUUAAAUCUUCAGUAUCCAGAGGCAUGUGGCACAUUGGAUUUUAUUUAGAGACAAUUUGUCGGAUAAACCCUGAAAAAGGCUCGAAGACCAGCAAAGUCAAGGUCGUUAAGAAGACUGGAAAGAAUGUGAAUAAGAAGACUGCUACUGUCAACGCAGAAGUUGCAUCCCUCCUAAAGAACCUCAUCCGUUUCGAAUGGGAUUUUGUCUAGACCUGGAUUUCCUCUCAGGCCAGAGUGAUCAGAAGCUGGAGUAAGACACUUAAAUUUUUUUCCAACAAUUAGUUUGAUUAAUGUGUUCUUCAUUUCAUGCCAGGUUUUUAAAAUAUGUUGUGCCGUGCUGGCAGUUUUUUCUUCUUGUUGUAAGUUUGU